rnacentral:rRNA from 1 species
AGUGAACGCUGGCGGUAGGCCUAACACAUGCAAGUCGAACGGCAGCACAGUAAGAGCUUGCUCUUACGGGUGGCGAGUGGCGGACGGGUGAGGAAUACAUCGGAAUCUACUUUUUCGUGGGGGAUAACGUAGGGAAACUUACGCUAAUACCGCAUACGACCUACGGGUGAAAGCAGGGGAUCUUCGGACCUUGCGCGAAUGAAUGAGCCGAUGUCGGAUUAGCUAGUUGGCGGGGUAAAGGCCCACCAAGGCGACGAUCCGUAGCUGGUCUGCGAGGAUGAUCAGCCACACUGGAACGGGGACACGGUCCAGACUCCUACGGGAGGCAGAAGUGGGGAAUAUUGGACAAGGGGCGCAAGCCUGCUCCAGCCAUACCGCGUGGGUGAAGAAGGCCUUCGGGUUGUAAAGCCCUUUUGUUGGGAAAGAAAAGCAGCAGGUUAAUACCCCGCUGUUCUGACGGUACCCAAAGAAUAAGCACCGGCUAACUUCGUG